rnacentral:lncRNA from 1 species
AGGCCCUUAUUUCUUCCCUUUUCUGAAACAGACCCAAGAAACAGUAAAUGUAUCAAGUUAUAUGCAUGCCAAUUACAGUGGACAUUCACAUAAUGGAGCAGUCACUUGUGUUUGGGAGGAGAAAGAUCAAGGAAGAACUCAUAGAGCAUUUGGCUGGGUCUUGAAGGGAACACUGAAUAGGUGGAGACUUGAAGAUCAGCCAGAGCAAAUAAAAAUAAUUAGCUUACCUAAAGCAUGGGCUCAUUUAACAAUAGUGAUUAGGCCAGGCUGAAAGGAAAGUAGGAAUAUAAGGACUGUAAAGAGAGAAUUACAGAAAUAAAGGUUAGAAAGUCUGGUUAGAGUCAGAGAGAUAUGGUAAUUUUAUAUUUGAAAUCUGGACAUGUGGUUUAACAGGAGGCAGGAUAUUUAAAAAUGAGAUGUUUAGGGAGAGCUGGUCAUGUAGAGAUAGAAGAUGACCCAGGUAAGGAUCGGAGGCUUUCCUCACUGAAGGUCCCUGUACAGGGAUUAAGAAAUCACAGCAACGACAACCUAGCAACAGUGUUCUAGACUCUAGUACAGCAACAGACGUAGAGUAUAGAAAUUCUCUGCAACAGUAUUGAGGGAAACUCACUAGAAGCUACUAUAAAUACUCCAGGAAAUAAGUAUGAAGGUCUGAAUACGAAUGGAGGCAAUGGGAAUGGAAAAAAAAGAUGAAAGGGUAUAACAGAAAGGAUAUAGCACCUGAAUGACUGUGGAGGGCAAAGAAGAAAGACUCAAAGGGGUACAUGUUUCUUCAUUGUUCAAGUUCUAAAGCUCUUGACAAAAUUAACACCAAUGUUUGCCCUUUAAAAAAAAAAAACA